rnacentral:rRNA from 1 species
UACGUAGGGUGCAAGCGUUGUCCGGAAUUAUUGGGCGUAAAGAGCUCGUAGGCGGUUUGUUGCGUCGGCUGUGAAAUCCCGAGGCUCAACCUCGGGUCUGCAGUCGAUACGAGCAAACUAGAGUGUUGCAGGGGAGACUGGAGUUCCUGGUGUAGCGGUGAAAUGCGCAGAUAUCAGGAGGAACACCGGUGGCGAAGGCGGGUCUCUGGGCCGAUACUGACGCUGGAGGAGCGAAAGCGUGGGGAGCGAACAGG